rnacentral:rRNA from 1 species
GUGAAAUUGUUGAAAGGGAAACGAUUGAAGCCAGUCGUACCUUCGGGUGAUCAGCCUUUCGGGUGCGGUUAUGUGGAGUGUGAGGAGCUUAAACACCUUCAUGUUUUGCAUAUUCGUACUCUUGGGUGUACUUGCCCGUUUGGUUGGGUAACAUCAAUUUUGGUGGGCAUAAAAUGACUGGGGGGAUGUAGCUUCGAUCUCGUAUUGAAGUGUUAUAGCCUUCGGUAGAUGUGAUGAUCGAGAUUGAGGAUUGCAACGGAUACCCUUCUGGGCUACUUGUCUGAUCUCUGAUCGUUGCUUUGGUGCCGAAAGCUUGCUUACGGUUAUCAAAGUCGCUGGUCAAUAGGUUAGAACGGGUUAAAUUCGUUAAGGAUGUUGACGUAAUGGCUUUAAACGAC